CGUGUAGGCGGGGUAGUAUGUCGGAUGUGAAAGCCCUCGGCUCAACCGAGGAAUUGCGUCCGAAACUGCUACUCUUGAGUACGGGAGAGGGAAGCGGAAUUUCCAGUGUAGAGGUGAAAUUCGUAGAUAUUGGAAGGAACACCGGUGGCGAAGGCGGCUUCCUGGACCGAUACUGACGCUGAGACGCGAAAGCGUGGGGAGCAAAACA
rnacentral:rRNA from 1 species